UUUCCGUAGGUGAACCUGCGGAAGGAUCAUUAACGAGUUAGGGUCUUCUAGGCCCGAUCUCCCAACCCUUUGUUUACUCAACCAUCGUUGCUUCGGCGAGCCCGUCUUCAUUGACCGCCGGAGGGCCGUUAAAACGUCCUCUGGUCCGCGCUCGUCGGUAGCCAACCCCUAAAUUCUUAAUUAAACGUGUCUAUAUCUGAGUACAAUUAUAAAUAAAGCAAAAACUUUCAACAACGGAUCUCUUGGUUCUGGCAUCGAUGAAGAACGCAGC
rnacentral:misc_RNA from 1 species